rnacentral:lncRNA from 1 species
AAAAAAAAAAAAAAAAAAAAGAGAAUAACCUUACCGUUACCUACUAAGGUAACGAACUGUGAAAUCAAUUCCCCAAUAUUGCUUUGAAAAUAAACCCCUUGGUUGUUAAGAGGAAUUCCAACUUCCAAAUCCAUCCGAAUGUAUUAUUUAACUGGUAUUCUUCAGUCAUCAUCUACUGUUGGCUUGAUUGUCACUCCUCUUCUUAUCUGAC